rnacentral:SRP_RNA from 1 species
GCUGGGCGUGGUGGCGUGCGCCUGUAGUCCCAGCUACUCAGGAGGCUGAGACAGGAGAAUCACUUGAACCCAGGAGAAGGAGGUUGCAGUGAGCCACUGCAUUCCAGCCUGGGCAACAGAGCGAGACUCUGUCUCAA